AAUUAAGGAUACAUUGGGGGCUGUCUUUGCCACAACUGCAGCUCCAGGGAGAUCUGCCUGCCGUCUUUUUCAAAUGCCUCUUUCACAGUCCUGUCACGUAUGUACCCCAAAUCCAGCAUCCUGGCUCAGAGGGGUCCUCCAACUGACCUCUCUCUCUGGGGAGAUGCUAGAGCAUCACGGAGCUGUCCCUCAGGACUGCUGCCUGAAGCUGAGGCAGAAGUCAGGUUAUCCUGAAGUCCUACUUUGUUCAAGGCACGGUGCCUGGUGUGAUGAGGUUUGGCAGGAUCCAAACACUCCCUGCCCUCAAGCACGUCACAUCCUAAGGUCUAAAAGAUCUGUUUUAAUUCAAUUUUUCCCUACAACCUCAGAGCAAAGUUGGGCUGCUUGAAAGUUGUACAACUUAGGAGAGGUUGCUGUAGGCAGAUGAUCGAACGGGUUUAGACACAAUGAAAAGAACGUCGGAAUUGUUAGCUCGAACCUACUUAGAAAUGGAGAAUCCUACAAAUUGGGGUGCAAUUUAAAGAGUACCAGUUCCGGGAUCAGAGAACUUGCCUCCAAAUCUUGCUUCUGACACUUAAUGCUCUUCCGGUCUUGGAUUCUAGGAGCAGGUUGGGUAUUCUGACCUCCAGAACUCUGCAGAAGAACAGAAGGCCCAAAGAAACAGAAGCUCUCUAGAAUACUCACCGCUAUUAUGGACUAUGCCAAGCUACAGAUCUGGUUAACAGAGGCCUGCUUCUUCACAACUUCAUCAUUCCUUUAUAAUUAAUUCUCUCUGACAAGAGCAAAAGGCACUGAAAGGAAAGACAACAUGAUUUCUUCUCACCAAGAGUAGUUCUUAUGGAGACUGAGCUGAAUAGAAACUACUUUAAAAAGAAUUUUUUCACCUGUUUUCUUUUUUUAAUUUUCCAUUCUUAUUGGCAGAUUCUGUUUUUCCAGGCCCGACUUUCCCCUUCUUGGUCUGGGUCAGUUGUAUUAUGACACAAGAGUCAAGAAGAUAAGCAUAAUUAUACCUGCAUGACCUAUCUAUAACAGUCAUUGAGAGAAAAGGUUUUUGUAAAGAUCCAAGCAAUGGAAACGUGAGUCAUUGUUGACUCAAGCACCGGAAUUCUUUAGGUCAACAUCCAGGGUCUGGAGCCUCACGAGUGGGUCAUAUCCUGGAGUGUCACCUGACAGGGGUGACGGGAGAGGCUGAGGAGUGAACCCCAAGGAAACAAUUCCCCGAGCUUACUCCCCAGCUAAGCGGAGAGCCUGAGAGCCAAGCUCGAGCUGCACUGUGCAGAAAGCACAUGCCCACGUCAGCUUUCUCACCCUCUGCCCCAUAAGCUUGUCGCCUCACUGCACCAUGCAAUUCCAAUUUUGAACAGUUCACCAAAUUCUAAGACAAACUUUUCCAUACUAAGGAAUAUCACCUUAGCCAAUAGUCGUAAUUUCUUGCUUAACUUUGUAGGCAUUCAUAAUCUUUCUCUAUGUCAUGGCAGCCCGAUGAAGCCCACAGACUGCUUCUCUGAAGCAUUUAAAAAAAUAUUUUUCCCCAAAUUACAUGUAAAAGCAAUUUUUAAAAUUAUUUUUUUUAUAAAUUUAGAGUUCCACAUUCUCUCUCUGUCUCCUUCCCCUCUAUGAGACGGUAGGCAAUCUGAUGUAGAUUUUAUAUGUGUCAUCAUGUCAAACAGUUUACCAUAUUAGUCAUUUUGUGGAAGAGAGCUCAAAUAAACAAAAAAGAAAAA